GACGAACGCUGGCGGCGCGCCUAACACAUGCCAGUCGAACGAGCGAGCGAGAGCUUGCUUUCUUGAGCGAGUGGCGAACGGGUGAGUAACGCGUGAGGAACCUGCCUCAAAGAGGGGGACAACAGUGGGAAACGACUGCUAAUACCGCAUAAGCCCACGACCCGGCAUCGGGUUGAGGGAAAAGGAGCAAUCCGCUUUGAGAUGGCCUCGCGUCCGAUUAGCUAGUUGGUGAGGUAACGGCCCACCAAGGCGACGAUCGGUAGCCGGACUAAGAGGUUGAACGGCCACAUUGGGACUGAGACACAGCCCAGACUCCUGCGAGAGGCAGCAGUAGGGAAUAUUGGACAAUGGGGGAAACCCUGAUGCAGCGACGCAGCGUGGAGCAAGAUGGUCUUCUGAUUGUAAACUCCUAUUGUUAAGGAAGAUAAUGACGGUACUCAACAAGGAAGUGACGGCUAACUACGUG
rnacentral:rRNA from 1 species